rnacentral:rRNA from 1 species
AGUGAACGCUGGCGGUAGGCCUAACACAUGCAAGUCGAACGGCAGCACAGUAAGAGCUUGCCUUUACGGGUGGCGAGUCGCGGACGGGAGAGGAAUACAUCGGAAUAUACUUUUUCGGGGGGGAACACGUAGGGAAACUUACGCUAACAGCGCAUACGACCUACGGGAGAAAGCAGGGGAUCUUCGGACCUUGCGCGAUUGAAUGAGACGAUAUCGGAUUAGCUAGUUGGUGGGGUAAGGGCCUACCAAGGCGACGAUCAGUAGCGGGUCUGAGAGGAUGAUCCGCCACACUGGGACUGAGACACGGCCCAGACUCCUACGGGAGGCAGCAGUGGGGAAUUUUGGACAAUGGGCGCAAGCCUGAUCCAGCCAUGCCGCGUGUCUGAAGAAGGCCUUCGGGUUGUAAAGGACUUUUGUUAGGGAAGAAAAAGGAGCGGUUAAUACCCGUUUCUGCUGACGGUACCUAAAGAAUAAGCACCGGCUAACUACGUG